CUAACCUUGAAUUAACCUCUUUAUAAACAGUUUAAAAAAGUUAUUGUUUAUUACAAGUUGUUUACCCUAGGUCAAUUUAAACAAUUAUGAUUCUAUUAAUUCCCAGGUAGUAAAUGAGAACAGCUCAUCCAUCUCUAUCGCGAGAAAAAUAAUGCAUCUUAACGAAUAGUAAACGCCGAAGGAGGCCUCAGUAAUUCGGCACUGAAAUUUAUGCUAAUGCGGACAAAGAACUUUCUAAUAUCAUUAUGCGUGAUUGUGACCAUAAGUUUAGGGUUUAUAAUUUUUGGCCAACAUAAACCCGAAACAAUUCAGAAUAUUGUAAUGUCAACAAAUGAACAAAUCAAAAGCUUUAAGGAUAAUCUGAGGGAUGUUGAAUCUAAGACCUUGGUAGCAGAUGAGAAAUUUCUAGAUAUUUUGGGUUUUACACAAAAUCCUCGAAUAUAUCCAAGGGAUGUUUGGACCAAUACAUCACUUCCUGUUGUAGUAACUUAUGUAUUUCGCGGACAAGAAAGUCAGGCUAUUGGUCUUAUUUACAAUGUGGCCAAAAUUUUGCCCAGUAAUACAAUUCUGGUAUAUAAUUUGGGAUUGACAGAUUAUGGCCUUAAGACACUUUUUAAUUAUUGCAACAGCACGCGUUGUCAAGUGACUACUUUAGAUCUGUAUGAAUUUCCAUCGCACGUAUUCAGCGAAGACCCUCACGCUUACCGACCGCUAGUUAUUCAAGAUGCCUUGUCCCGAACGGGGGCCACGUUAUUUAUUGAAAACAGCUACCGUUUCCUGCAUAACGUCAGCCGCACCGUGUUGAACAAUCUCUAUGAAAGACGGGCGUUGAAGGAAGGCAUUUUAGCUUUCCCGCACAAAACGAAACGCCCUGUAACCAGUUUUACGCACAAGAAGAUGUUCGAGUAUUUCCGCACGGACGCGGAGAAUUUUUGGUUCUUGCAGAUGGUAAAAGCGGAGGUGUUGUUUGUGGUAAACUUCAAGGAGAUUCACGAGAGCGUCAUGUUACCGUGGAUCCAGUGCAGCUUGACCCAAGACUGUAUAUUUCCCAUAGGGGCGCAAUCAACAGGGUGCAAGUUUGAUAAAAAACCACUUUACAGGUUUGCAAAAAUAACUGCGAUUUCAAAAAUCUCAAUGCAAAGGAUAAACCUUUAAAUAAAUAUUACAACUGGAUGAAUAAUUCUUGAUUAAUGAUCUUAGGUUCUGUUCUGUUGCCAUAUUAUCGGCCUUCAAUUUUUAUAAUUUUUUUUAAAUUCUCCAUCAGGGGAGGGGGAUAUAUCCUUCAGCUUUCCAAGCUCCAGGGUGUUAAAACUAACAUGAGUCAAUUAUGUUCUUAGAUGUGAGAAUUGGAAACUCCGAAACAAUGGCAUAGCUUACAAUUACAUGAAACUGUACAAAGUGAACAACUUGGUAAUUUAAAUGUGGCUCUGGUUUAAAACAUCAGGCAAGUUUUUUGUUUAAAAUUUUGCCAAAAUCAAAAUGCAAAAACAAAAUAUUUGUUAAAAAGAACUUCGUAUCAAAUGUUUUGUAUUUUUCUAUAACAGGUAUCUCAGUAAGGGCGAUAAGGUACCGUGUCAGGAGAACUAGUGUUUCUAAAAAAUUGAGAAAAAAAAGUUAAGUAAAUCAGCCAAGAGAAAAUGCUGCAAAUUAUUUUCUAGUUUCGGAAAUGGCUCCCAGGAGAUGUUACUAUCAUCUUGAUUUUUUAAACCCAGUUUCUGCAAAAUUCUCUUAUAUUUACCAUAGUUAGAAUGAGUACCUUUUUAAAGUGGAGACAAAUUCGAACCUCUUUUGGUAAAUGCUCUUUUCUCUAUGUCUGCAUGGAAGUAUUGGUAGUUUUUGAAUAUGUUUGGAAAUAAAUGUCAAUAACUUAAAUUAAGCGUGCUAUAAGUGAGGCAAUUGCGAUCUGCUUGCUCACCUGCCACCAGCUGGCAUUUUCUGACAUAAUCGCAAAAAAAAUUCUGACUGAUAAAUAACAAUCCAACAAAUCAUUUUCAAUUUAGGCUGUUAUUAAUGUGCAAUUGUUCCGAAUUUACCAAAUAACACACCAGUUUGGUCCUUAAGAUGCCAAAUGAUAUUCAAAAUCGGAAUAAAUAUGUUUAUUAUUAUUAUUAAAUAUGUUUAUUACUUUUCUUUCAAUUUUCAUAGAAGGAAUUAUUAUUAUUGUUAUUACGUUUUGACGCCCGUUUUCCAUUAUUUAGUAUUAUCACUUAUUUUUUCAUUACUAAUUAAGUUUAAUGACUAACUCUGUCAAUAAUGAAUUGUGAUUUUGUCAGAAAACGACAUCUUGUGGCAAGGUAAGCGGUCGCGAUCAUCUGGCUUGUAGCACGUUUGACAGCGUAGGCGAGGUUAUUUCUAAGGAAUGCAAGUUUAUUAAGAUAUGUUAAGCCUUUUAGAACCUGUCCUUUUAGGAAUAGAGCUAAAAGCAUUAAACAGAAAAGAUUUGAAAAUUCCAAAAGUAGUCCACUGCUCAAAGUGUAGUAGUAAACUCAAGGGAAACAGCGUUAUCCUCGUCCGCACAAACUUAUUCUGGUGUCACGUUAAACUCUGGUUAUUACUGAUUAAAUAAGAACUCUUUAAUUCUUCUUUUGGGGGAAUUAAAACUUGUCCUAAUUUUAAAAUGGCCACUUUAACUGGGGUAAAAAAAGAAUAUAUUUUCUUAUUUUAACAAAACCAACAAUUCCGUUACAAAGGUUUAACUUCUUUCCGAUCUCCCACUUCAUAGCACUUUUCAAAUUUUCGCAUUGAAAACAUUGGGUGUUUAAGAAGCCCUUACACUUCACCAAAUAUUAUCCUGUAUUCAGGGUGCCAUAGCUAUGAUGCUUCAGCAUUAAACAUCGUCUUAGGAUUACACUACAAAUACGCCGGUAGUGCGUAUAUGGUAACGGAUCAGGCGGUGUACUUCAG